CCUACGGGAGGCAGCAGUGAGGAAUAUUGGUCAAUGGGCGUAAGCCUGAACCAGCCAAGUCGCGUGAGGGAAGACUGCCCUAUGGGUUGUAAACCUCUUUUGCCGGGGAGCAACGCCGGCUACGUGUCGCCGGACUGAGAGUACCCGAAGAAAAAGCAUCGGCUAACUCCGUGCCAGCAGCCGCGGUAAUACGGAGGAUGCGAGCGUUAUCCGGAUUUAUUGGGUUUAAAGGGUGCGUAGGCGGAAUGCCAAGUCAGCUGUAAAAUCGCGGGGCUCAACCUGGCUCUGCCUUUGAAACUGGCGUUCUUGAGUGGGCGAGAGGUAUGCGGAAUGCGUGGUGUAGCGGUGAAAUGCGUAGAUA
rnacentral:rRNA from 1 species